GAUGAACGCUGGCGGCGUGCCUAAUACAUGCAAGUCGAGCGAACAGAUGAGGAGUUUCCUCUUCUGACGUUAGCGGCGCACGGGUGUGUCACACGUGGAUAACCUAUCUAUAAGGCUGGGAUAACUUGGGGACACCGGAGCUUAUACCGGAUUAUAUAUUGAACCGUAUGGUUCAAUAGUGAAAGACGGUUUUGUUGUUACUUAUUGAUGGAUCGGCGCCGCAUUAGCUAGUUGGUAAGGUAACGGCUUACCAAGGCAAUGAUGCGUAGCCGACCUGAGAGGGGGAUCGGCCACACUGGAACUGAGACACGGUCCAGACUCCUACGGGAGGCAGCAGUAGGGAAUCUUCCGCAAUGGGCGAAAGCCUGACGGAGCAACGCCGCGUGAGUGAUGAAGGUCUUCGGAUCGUAAAACUCUGUUAUUAGGGAAGAACAAAUGUGUAAGUAACUAUGCACGUCUUGACGGUACCUAAUCAGAAAGCCACGGCUAACUACGUG
rnacentral:rRNA from 1 species